GAGGGCAGCGAUACCGCGAGGUGGAGCGAAUCUCACAAAGUACGUCGUAGUCCGGAUUGGAGUCUGCAACUCGACUCCAUGAAGUCGGAAUCGCUAGUAAUCGCAAAUCAGAAUGUUGCGGUGAAUACGUUCCCGGGCCUUGUACACACCGCCCGUCACACCAUGGGAGUGGGCUGCAAAAGAAGCAGGUAGUUUAACCUUCGGGAGGACGCUUGCCACUUUGUGGUUCAUGACUGGGGUGAAGUCGUAACAAGGUAGCGCUAGGGGAACCUGGCGCUGGAUCACCUCCUUA
rnacentral:rRNA from 1 species